GUGCCAGCCGCCGCGGUAAUACGUAGGGUCCAAGCGUUGUCCGGAUUUAUUGGGCGUAAAGAGCUCGUAGGCGGCUCAGUAAGUCGGAUGUGAAAACUCGGGGCUCAACCCCGAGACGCCAUCCGAUACUGCUGUGGCUUGAGUCUGGUAGGGGAACACGGAAUUCCUGGUGUAGCGGUGAAAUGCGCAGAUAUCAGGAGGAACACCGAUGGCGAAGGCAGUGUUCUGGGCCAGUACUGACGCUGAGGAGCGAAAGCGUGGGUAGCAAACAGGAUUAGAAACCCCGGUAGUCC
rnacentral:rRNA from 1 species